rnacentral:rRNA from 1 species
GACGAACGCUGGCGGCGUGCCUAAUACAUGCAAGUCGAGCGGAUCUGAUGGAGUGCUUGCACUCCUGAUGGUUAGCGGCGGACGGGUGAGUAACACGUAGGUAACCUGCCUACAAGACUGGGAUAACAUUCGGAAACGAAUGCUAAUACCGGAUACGCGAUUUUCUCGCAUGGGGAGAUCGGGAAAGACGGAGCAAUCUGUCACUUGUAGAUGGACCUGCGGCGCAUUAGCUAGUUGGUGGGGUAACGGCUCACCAAGGCGACGAUGCGUAGCCGACCUGAGAGGGUGAUCGGCCACACUGGGACUGAGACACGGCCCAGACUCCUACGGGAGGCAGCAGUAGGGAAUCUUCCGCAAUGGACGAAAGUCUGACGGAGCAACGCCGCGUGAGUGAUGAAGGCUUUCGGGUCGUAAAGCUCUGUUGCCAGGGAAGAACGCUUGGGAGAGUAACUGCUCCCAAGGUGACGGUACCUGAGAAGAAAGCCCCGGCUAACUACGUGCCAGCCGCCGCCGUAAUAC